rnacentral:rRNA from 1 species
UGGGGAAUAUUGGACAAUGGGCGCAAGCCUGAUCCAGCCAUGCCGCGUGAGUGAUGAAGGCCCUAGGGUUGUAAAGCUCUUUCACCGGUGAAGAUAAUGACGGUAACCGGAGAAGAAGCCCCGGCUAACUUCGUGCCAGCAGCCGCGGUAAUACGAAGGGGGCUAGCGUUGUUCGGAUUUACUGGGCGUAAAGCGCACGUAGGCGGACUUUUAAGUCAGGGGUGAAAUCCCGGGGCUCAACCCCGGAACUGCCUUUGAUACUGGAAGUCUUGAGUAUGGUAGAGAUGAGUGGAAUUCCGAGUGUAGAGGUGAAAUUCGUAGAUAUUCGGGGGAACACCAGUGGCGAAGGCGGCUCACUGGACCAUUACUGACGCUGAGGUGCGAAAGCGUGGGGAGCAAACAGG